CGUGUAGGCUGCUUCGCAAGUCGGAUGUGAAAGCCCUGGGCUCAACCCAGGAAGUGCAUUCGAAACUGCAAAGCUGGAGUCCUGGAGAGGAAGGCGGAAUUCUCGGUGUAGAGGUGAAAUUCGUAGAUAUCGAGAGGAACACCGGUGGCGAAGGCGGCCUUCUGGACAGUGACUGACGCUGAGACGCGAAAGCGUGGGGAGCAAACA
rnacentral:rRNA from 1 species